rnacentral:rRNA from 1 species
GACGAACGCUGGCGGCGUGCUUAACACAUGCAAGUCGAACGGAAAGGCCCUGCUUUUGUGGGGUGCUCGAGUGGCGAACGGGUGAGUAACACGUGAGUAACCUGCCCUUGACUUUGGGAUAACUUCAGGAAACUGGGGCUAAUACCGGAUAGGAGCUCCUGCUGCAUGGUGGGGGUUGGAAAGUUUCGGCGGUUGGGGAUGGACUCGCGGCUUAUCAGCUUGUUGGUGGGGUAGUGGCUUACCAAGGCUUUGACGGGUAGCCGGCCUGAGAGGGUGACCGGGCACAGUGGGACUGAGAGACGGCCCAGACUCCUACGGGAGGCAGCAGUGGGGAAUAGUGCACAAUGGGCGGAAGCCUGAUGCAGCAACGCCGCGUGCGGGAUGACGGCCUUCGGGUUGUAAACCGCUUUCGCCUGUGACGAAGCGUGAGGGACGGUAAUGGGUAAAGAAGCACCGGCUAACUACGU